UAAUUUCCUUUUUCAACCGGAGGAAAAGAAACCAACCGGGAUUGCCUUAGUAACGGCGAGUGAAGCGGCAAAAGCUCAAAUUUGAAAUCUGGUACCUUCGGUGCCCGAGUUGUAAUUUGGAGAGGGCAACUUUGGGGCCGUUCCUUGUCUAUGUUCCUUGGAACAGGACGUCAUAGAGGGUGAGAAUCCCGUGUGGCGAGGAGUGCGGUUCUUUGUAAAGUGCCUUCGAAGAGUCGAGUUGUUUGGGAAUGCAGCUCUAAGUGGGUGGUAAAUUCCAUCUAAAGCUAAAUAUUGGCGAGAGACCGAUAGCGAACAAGUACAGUGAUGGAAAGAUGAAAAGAACUUUGAAAAGAGAGUGAAAAAGUACGUGAAAUUGUUGAAAGGGAAGGGCAUUUGAUCAGACAUGGUGUUUUGUGCCCUCUGCUCCUUGUGGGUAGGGGAAUCUCGCAUUUCACUGGGCCAGCAUCAGUUUUGGUGGCAGGAUAAAUCCAUAGGAAUGUAGCUUGCCUCGGUAAGUAUUAUAGCCUGUGGGAAUACUGCCAGCUGGGACUGAGGACUGCGACGUAAGUCAAGGAUGCUGGCAUAAUGGUUAUAUGCCGCCCGUCUUAAACACCCCGGGACCA
rnacentral:rRNA from 1 species